ACGAGUUUUAAUUGUUAGGUUAGAGUUGAGCUGGUUAAUCUAAUUAAUAUGUGCUUACUCUAAUCGAAACAAGUCCACUCAUUACUUAACACUUGUGAACUUAUUCAUUACAAACAUUAUUAUUUGUUAUUGGAACGUUUGAUUAUUAAAAAGUUAAUAUAACUUUCAACAACGGAUCUCUUGGCUCUCGCAUCGAUGAAGAACGCAGCGAAAUGCGAUAAGUAAUGUGAAUUGCAGAAUUCAGUGAAUCAUCGAAUCUUUGAACGCACCUUGCGCUCCCUGGUAUUCCGGGGAGCAUGCCUGUUUGAGUGUCGUGAAGUUGUCAUGGUCAUGAUCUUUAAUUAAUCAUGGCUUGGAUUUGGAGGUUUAUGUUGGCUUUCUUAAGUUGACUCCUCUUAAAUGUAUUAGCUCGGUGUCUUAAUACUUAGAGCAGGUUCACGGUGUGAUAAUUAUCUACACUUCAACUAAUCUAAGUUAAGCCGGCUUCUAAUAGAUCCUUGGUGAUCACUUUGUGAAUUUGACCUCAAAUCAGGUAGGACUACCCGCUGAACUUAAGCAUAUCAAUAAGCGGAGGAUCGUACGCUUGGUCAUUUAGAGGAAGUAAAAGUCGUAACAAGGUCUCCGUUGGUGAACCAGCGGAGGGAUCAUUACCGAGUUUACAACUCCCAAACCCAUGUGAACAUACCUACUGUUGCUUCGGCGGGAUUGCCCCGGGCGCCCCGUGUGCCCCGGAUCAGGCGCCCGCCUAGGAAACUUAACUCUUGUUUUAUUUUGGAAUCUUCUGAGUAGUUUUUACAAAUAAAUAA
rnacentral:misc_RNA from 1 species